AUGAAGGCCUUCGGGUCGUAAAGCUCUGUCGUAUGGGACUAACAAAAUGAAGGUACCAUGCAAGAAAGGAUCGGCUAACUUCGUGCCAGCAGCCGCGGUAAGACGAGGGAUCCUAGCGUUGUUCGGAAUCAUUGGGCGUAAAGCGGGUGUAGGCGGACUUAUAAGUCAGGUGUGAAAUCCCAGGGCUCAACCCUGGAAGUGCACUUGAUACUGCAAGUCUUGAGUGUGGUAGAGGCUAUUAGAAUUCUUGGUGUAGUGGUGAAAUACGUAGAUAUCAAGAGGAAUACCGGAGGCGAAGGCGGAUAGCUGGGCCAACACUGACGCUGAGACCCGAAAGCGUGGGGAUCAAACAGGAUUAGAUACCCUGGUAGUCCACGCUGUAAACGAUGGAUACUUGUUGUUAGAGGUAUUGACCCCUCUAGUGACGUAGCUAACGCGUUAAGUAUCCCGCCUGGGGAGUACGGUCGCAAGAUUAAAACUCAAAGAAAUUGACGGGGGCCCGCACAAGCGGUGGAGCAUGUGGUUUAAUUCGAUGCAACGCGAAGAACCUUACCCGGGCUUGACAUGAACUGGAAGAGUGGCAGAGAUGUCCUCGCUCGCAAGAGUCGGUUCACAGGUGCUGCAUGGCUGUCGUCAGCUCGUGUCGUGAGAUGUUGGGUUAAGUCCCGCAACGAGCGCAACCCUUACCUUUAGUUGCCAGCAUUUAGUUGGGCACUCUAAAGGGACUGCCUGCGUUAAGCAGGAGGAAGGUGGGGAUGACGUCAAGUCCUCAUGGCCCUUAUGUCCGGGGCUACACACGUGCUACAAUGGUGGUCACAGAGGGAAGCCAAACCGCAAGGUGGAGCCAAUCCCUUAAAAGCCAUCUAAGUUCAGAUUGGUCUCUGCAACUCGAGACCAUGAAGUUGGAAUCGCUAGUAAUCGCGGAUCAGAAUGCCGCGGUGAAUACGUUCCCGGGCCUUGUACACACCGCCCGUCACACCAUGAAAGUUGGUCGUACCAGAAGUCGCUGUGCU
rnacentral:rRNA from 1 species